rnacentral:rRNA from 1 species
AGAGUUUGAUCCUGGCUCAGAACGAACGCUGGCGGCGUGCUUAACACAUGCAAGUCGAGUGCGCGUUCUUGUAGCAAUACAGGAAUGGCGCACGGCGCACGGGUGCGUAACACGUGGGUAAUCUGCCCUCUGAUGGGGAAUAACCCGCCGAAAGGCGGGCUAAUUCCGCAUAACAUUCCUUGGACUCCGGUUCGAGGAUUCAAAGGCGUAAGUCGUCGGAGGUGGAACCCGCGCCCGAUUAGCUAGUUGGUGAGGUAACGGCUCACCAAGGCAAUGAUCGGUAGCUGGUCUGAGAGGAUGACCAGCCACACUGGAACUGAGACACGGUCCAGACUCCUACGGGAGGCAGCAGUGGGGAAUCUUGCACAAUGGGCGAAAGCCUGAUGCAGCGACGCCGCGUGGGGGAUGAAGCUUCUCGGAGUGUAAACCCCUUUCGACCCGGACGAAUGCCCCGCAAGGGGAGUGACGGUACGGGUAUAAGAAGCCCCGGCUAACUACGUGCCAGCAGCCGCGGUAAGACGUGGGGGGCCAGCGUUGUUCGGAAUUACUGGGUGUAAAGGGUUCGUAGGCGGUGUGGCGAGUUGGGAGUGAAAUCUCUGGGCUCAACUCAGAGGCUGCUUCCAAAACUGCUGUGCUGGAGUGUGGGAGAGGCGCGUGGAAUUGCAGGUGUAGCGGUGAAAUGCGUAGAUAUCUGCAGGAACACCCGUGGCGAAAGCGGCGCGCUGGACCACUACUGACGCUGAGGAACGAAAGCUAGGGGAGCAAACAGGAUUAGAUACCCUGGUAGUCCUAGCCCUAAACGAUCAGGACUUGGGGUGCCACCCGUUCGGGUGUCGUCCCGGAGCUAACGCGUUAAGUCCUGCACCUGGGGAGUACGGUCGCAAGACUGAAACUCAAAGGAAUUGACGG